GAUGAACGCUGGCGGCGUGCCUAAUACAUGCAAGUCGAACGAAGAUCUAGCUUGCUAGAUCUUAGUGGCGAACGGGUGAGUAAUACAUAAAUAAUCUGCCCAUAUGACUGGGAUAACUAUUGGAAACGAUAGCUAAUACCGGAUAGGUUGAUUGGAGGCAUCUCUGAUUAAUUAAAGUAGGAUUUCUACACAAAUGGAUGAGUUUAUGGCGCAUUAGUUAGUUGGUGGGGUAACGGCCUACCAAGACGAUGAUGCGUAGCCGACCUGAGAGGGUGACCGGCCACACUGGGACUGAGACACGGCCCAGACUCCUACGGGAGGCAGCAGUAGGGAAUUUUCGGCAAUGGGCACAAGCCUGACCGAGCAACGCCGCGUGAGUGAUUAAGGCCUUCGGGUUGUAAAGCUCUGUUGUAAGGGAAGAACAUUCAGGAUAGGAAAUGAUCUUGAACUGACGGUACCUUACCAGAAAGCCACGGCUAACUACGUGCCAGCCGCCGCAGUAA
rnacentral:rRNA from 1 species